AACAGGAUUAGAUACCCUGGUAGUCCACGCCGUAAACGAUGUCGACUUGGAGGUUGUGCCCUUGAGGCGUGGCUUCCGGAGCUAACGCGUUAAGUCGACCGCCUGGGGAGUACGGCCGCAAGGUUAAAACUCAAAUGAAUUGACGGGGGCCCGCACAAGCGGUGGAGCAUGUGGUUUAAUUCGAUGCAACGCGAAGAACCUUACCUACUCUUGACAUCCAGAGAACUUAGCAGAGAUGCUUUGGUGCCUUCGGGAACUCUGAGACAGGUGCUGCAUGGCUGUCGUCAGCUCGUGUUGUGAAAUGUUGGGUUAAGUCCCGCAACGAGCGCAGCCCUUAUCCUUUGUUGCCAGCGGUCCGGCCGGGAACUCAAAGGAGACUGCCAGUGAUAAACUGGAGGAAGGUGGGGAUGACGUCAAGUCAUCAUGGCCCUUACGAGUAGGGCUACACACGUGCUACAAUGGCAUAUACAAAGAGAAGCGACCUCGCGAGAGCAAGCGGACCUCAUAAAGUAUGUCGUAGUCCGGAUUGGAGUCUGCAACUCGACUCCAUGAAGUCGGAAUCGCUAGUAAUCGUGGAUCAGAAUGCCACGGUGAAUACGUUCCCGGGCCUUGUACACACCGCCCGUCACACCAUGGGAGUGGGUUGCAAAAGAAGUAGGUAGCUUAACCUUCGGGAGGGCGCUUACCACUUUGUGAUUCAUGACUGGGGUGAAGUCGUAACAAGGUAACC
rnacentral:rRNA from 1 species